CGCUGGCGGCAGGCCUAACACAUGCAAGUCGAGCGGUAGCACAGAGAGCUUGCUCUCGGGUGACGAGCGGCGGACGGGUGAGUAAUGUCUGGGAAACUGCCUGAUGGAGGGGGAUAACUACUGGAAACGGUAGCUAAUACCGCAUAACGUCGCAAGACCAAAGUGGGGGACCUUCGGGCCUCAUGCCAUCAGAUGUGCCCAGAUGGGAUUAGCUAGUAGGUGGGGUAAUGGCUCACCUAGGCGACGAUCCCUAGCUGGUCUGAGAGGAUGACCAGCCACACUGGAACUGAGACACGGUCCAGACUCCUACGGGAGGCAGCAGUGGGGAAUAUUGCACAAUGGGCGCAAGCCUGAUGCAGCCAUGCCGCGUGUAUGAAGAAGGCCUUCGGGUUGUAAAGUACUUUCAGCGAGGAGGAAGGCAUUAAGGUUAAUAACCUUGGUGAUUGACGUUACUCGCAGAAGAAGCACCGGCUAACUCCGUG
rnacentral:rRNA from 1 species